rnacentral:misc_RNA from 1 species
GGAAGGAUCAUUAACACUUCUUUAAAUAUUCCAUUUAAAACAAAAAACUCUUUAUAAAGAAAGGAGGUGGUGGGUUUCAUCUGCCUCUCUCUUCUUUAUAGGGAAACACCCUUUGUGUGAACUUGUUAAAGUACUUAACAUCUCUAUGGACUUGUCUAUAGACAUGUUAAUAUUUAUAAACUCUACUUAUAAAAAAAUAAUCUAUUAUAAAAAAAAGUCUGAAAAAAUAAGUAAACUUGUAAAAGAAGAGGAAAUAGAUAGAUAGUUGGUGCUUUACAGCUCCCAUCUCUCUCUUUCUUCUCCUUUUUUACAAGUCGAAAACCAAAUAAGAUAACCUUAAAAGACAACUUUUAACAACGGAUAUCUUGGUUCUCGCAACGAUGACGAGCGCAGCGAAAUGCGAUACGUAAUGUGAAUUGCAGGAUUCAGUGAAUCAUCGAAACCUUGAACGCAUAUUGCGCUGGCAAUUCUUUUGCCAGCACGCCUGUUUGAGUAUCGGUUUUCAUUAUCAACAAGAAUUAAAACUUCUUUGUUGGACUAUGGAUGUUUGAGUUGGGAGUGGGAGAGGUUAAACUCUCUCACUCACUCAAUCGUCUUAAAUUAAAUGAGGUUUUUGUGUGUCUAUCCAGGAUAUACAAAACAAAAAUAAUCAUUAAAACCUGUUGGUCAUUAGGGAGUUUUUCAUCUCUUUUAAAAGGAGGUGAAAAGCAAACAAACUUACCAUCAGGUUCUAUAUUUUUUGUUUUCAAUUGGAAAGAAAUUAAACCCUUUAUUACACAAUCUAACUAACACACAAAUCAAUACUUAAAAAACCUAAUCUCGAUCUCAAAUCAGGCGAGACAACCCGCUGAAUUUAAGCAUAUCAAUAAGCGGAGGAGAAGAAACUAACUAGGAUUCCCUCAGUAACGGCGAGUGAAGCGGGAAGAGCUCAAAUUGAAAAUCUUCAGGGAUUAACUUCCUUGACGAAUUGUAGUUUUGUGACUGGUACUUACGGGUGGGUGACACAGAUGUAAGUCUCCUGGAAUGGAGUGCCCUGGAGGGUGAGAGCCCCGUGUCGUCUGUGUGCCUUCGCCUGCCAAUACGUACUGCCAGUUCGCCGAGUCGAGUUGUUUGAGAGUACAGCUCAAAAUGGGUGGUAAAUUUCAUCUAAAGCUAAAUAAUGGCGAGAGACCGAUAGCGAACAAGUACCGUGAGGGAAAGAUGAAAAGAACUUUGAAAAGAGAGUUAAAAGUACUUGAAAUUGUUAAAAGGGAAGCGAUUGGAACCAGUCGAUGCGCGCCGUUCAAUCAGCCGGAAGCGUGGGUGCCGGCGGUGGCCAGCGAGGGGCCCUUUGUGGUCUCCGUGUAGUGGCUGUCGUCUUUGGCUGCUUACGUGGCCGGUGCACUUGGACGGUGUUUUUGCGAGUCAGCGUGAGUCUGGUAAUUGCUGCGGUAGAAGAUCCAGGGGAAGGUAGCGUGCUGGCCGACUCAUGUCGGUUGUACGUGCGUGUUAUAGCCCUUGGUGGAUGCCGUAGCCUGGACUGAGGCGCCCUAUGGGCGUGGACGAGCGUUCCCUUCAAUGGGGACUGGAGAUCGUGCUGCUGGGAGGUUGCCGGUCAUGGGUACAGCCUAGCUCGUGCCUGUGGCUCUGCGUAGCCUCCGAGUCGGUGCUAUUGACAGCUCUCGUCAAGGACGCUGACGAAAUGGUUUCAAUCGGCCCGUCUUGAAACACGGACCAAGGAGUCUAACAUGUGUGCGAGUACUUGGGUGGCAAACCCGGGCUGCGUAAUGAAAGUAAACCAGAUGGGAAGCGGGUGCCCUCGCGGCUGGCCCGCCUGCACCAUCGACCGACCUUGAUAUCUUUGGAUAGGUUUGAGUGAGAGCAUACCUGUUGGGACCCGAAAGAUAGCGAACUAUGCCUGCAUAGGGUGAAGCCAGACGAAAGUCUGGUGGAGGCUCGUAGCGAUACUGACGUGCAAAUCGUUCGUCAAAUGUGGGUAUAGCGGCGAAAGACUAAUCGAGCUGUCUAGUAGCUGGUUUCCUC